CCCUUGCCUGCCCCUUCUUCAUGGAGUCCAUCCCUGUCUGCCCAUUUGUGCACGUGUGCAUGGUGCCCCUGUCCCCCGUCUGGACCACAAGAUCCAGGAGAGCAGGAGCCGUGCCGUGUCACUCAGUGCUCUGCCCCCGGGCCCAGCACAGGGCCUGCACAGACUCUGAGCACAAUGCCUGUGCAGAGAGAUGAGAAAAGGAUGGAACACCCUGUCUCAAGUCCUAGGCAGGCCUCGAGGCCACCGUGCUCUGCUUCUAAGGAACGAUGUGUAGAGGACGCAGGCCUGCUUAUGGGUCCCAAGCUCACAGUGCUGAUCUCCAAGUCAUGGGAGUAUGGGUUUCAUUAAUAACUUGAAAAUGCCAAAAGGAAAGGACACCCAAAGGAAUGAAGAAAGAAACAAUCUAUGCAAGUCUGCAUCAGAUUCUUCAUAUCAUGACAUUAUUAAUACCUGGUUAUGAGACAAAUCACACCUCAAGAAUGAGCAAGUAAUCACAUUUUCUUACAAUUUCUAGUUAUUCUUUUAUAGAAGCAAGAAUGAAGGAAAAAAGAAUUCAUGGAGCCUAUGUCCAUUUGAUCCAGUUUUACAGCAGUGUUACCUGAAACAAAUAGGGUAAACUGAGAAGGUAAACUGAGAAGCUGACACCAGAAUCUCAUCUUAGGGAGAGGGAGAAACUGGACAUCACAGAAUAUCACCUUCUCUGGUCCUUACAUCUCCAUUUUGGGCUAGGUUCUAUUCUCACCUCCAUUUUCCAGAUGAGCAACCUGAUGCUUAGAAAAAAGCAAAGAGCAAGAAAGUAUUAGUCCUUGAACUUGAACCUUAGCAGACUUACUCCAAAGCCCACACUGUGACAACUGUCCACAGACCUGAGCCUUGCUCACCGCCUGCUACCAGGUGACCGGAUGUCACUGUUUCCC
rnacentral:lncRNA from 1 species